rnacentral:misc_RNA from 1 species
GUCCACCACAGUUUGGCUGGAAAGAAACUCAAAUACCCCAUCACUGGCAAUCACAAAGAAAGGAUGAUCUGAGGUGAGCUCCAAAACAACAAUUUCAGGAUUUGCAACAACACCAAUUGUCUCAGCGACAGAAUCACCUAUACUUCUUGUAAAAGCCGUACCAGGAUACAUUCCAUUUUGCACCCACAACCUAGGAGGAUCACCAUCAUCACCUUCUUCAG